UACGUAGGGAGCAAGCGUUGUCCGGAAUCAUUGGGCGUAAAGCGCGCGUGGGCGGCCCUGUAAGUCCGUUGUGAAAGUCAAAGGCUCAACCUUUGAAAGCCGAUGGAUACUGCAGGGCUAGAGUCCGGAAGAGGCGAGUGGAAUUCCUGGUGUAGCGGUGGAAUGCGCAGAUAUCAGGAGGAACACCAAUAGCGAAGGCAGCUCGCUGGGACGGUACUGACGCUAAGGCGCGAAAGCGUGGGGAGCGAACAGG
rnacentral:rRNA from 1 species